rnacentral:rRNA from 1 species
GAUGAACGCUGGCGGCGUGCUUAACACAUGCAAGUCGAACGGUGAACCUCUUCGGAGGGGAUCAGUGGCGAACGGGUGAGUAACACGUGGGCAACCUGCCCCCGGCUCUGGGAUAACUCCAAGAAAUUGGGGCUAAUACCGGAUGUUCACCGCUUCCCGCAUGGGUGGUGGUGGAAAGGGUUUCCGGCUGGGGAUGGGCCCGCGGCCUAUCAGCUUGUUGGUGGGGUAGUGGCCUACCAAGGCGACGACGGGUAGCCGGCCUGAGAGGGUGACCGGCCACCCUGGGACUGAGACACGGCCCAGACUCCUACGGGAGGCAGCAGUGGGGAAUAUUGCGCAAUGGGCGGAAGCCUGACGCAGCGACGCCGCGUGGGGGAUGACGGCCUUCGGGUUGUAAACCUCUUUCAGCAGGGACGAAGCGCAAGUGACGGUACCUGCAGAAGAAGCACCGGCCAACUACGUG